UUACGGCCACAUCACGUUGAAACACCAGUUCCCGUAUAAUUACUGUAGUUAAGCAACGUCGAGCCUGGUCAGUACCGAGAUGGGUGACCGCUCUGGAAUACCAGGU